GCUGACUCAGCCUCUGAGCCUCAACAAUCCCUCCUUCGAGUGGGGACAACAUCCCUGCCUCCGAGGGCUGGUGUGCGGAUCGAGGGAAGUCACAGGUAGUCACAGCUCUGUGAAGGGUAACGCGAGCGCCUAGGCUGGGAGGCUGGGUCUGCAGCUGCCGGCUCCACGGGCUGUCUCCACCUCUCCCUGCCUGGCUCUCCUGGCUCUUCGUUUCGUCAUGUUCCUUCUGCCCAACCAGUCCUAGGGGGACAGGGAGACUCCUGGGCACAGGGGCUGCUCAAACUGCCCUGGGACAGAUGGCCUCCUGCCCUGCCCCAGUGCUCCUGGUCCUUUCAACCUUUAAGUUGAAGAUAAAGUCACUUUUGCAAUACUAAAGACCAACAGAUUCUAAUAUUCACUCCCAUGCAGGAACUAAGUGCCUGUUACCUGCUGUCCUGCUUGUCCCAUCUUAGGGUUUCCCAGGGCCCAGCAGAGCCUUUGCCAUACCUUCUCUAAGGCCCAGGCUCUGGGAGGAAGGUCACUCAGACUUUCAGCACUGCUGCUGGUGGAUGGGGCCCCUCUCAGAGGCCCUGGAUCCUGCUGGGCCUGUCUGCCUGUCUGACCAUGGAAACCUCCAAUGGGGCAGGGUCCAGGUUUCCCUCCCUACAAGCACGCUCCUAAGCACGUCCGCUCUGUCGUUGUAGGUGUAGAACUCAACAAUCACACCCUGCAAAGGCGGAGGAAACCCUCUUCCCUCCCCAGGCCCAUUCUGUGUCUCAGGCCCUGCCUCUCCCCUGUAUGUACCGCAUACAUCCCUUUCGGGGCUAUGCACAGGCUUCAGGGGAGCCCCACCCAUGGGGUGCAUCUUCAGCAGGACAAUCAUCAGAGAAUGUUGUGGUCCAGGAUAGGGCAGUCCUCCACUUCUGGUCCUCCAGAAGUGGACUAACUAACAUCUCCUCCAAAGUCAUUCUUCUUCCAUGUUUACGGUGACCUCUGUGUUCUAAUCCUGGGAGAAGCCCUAAGCUGAGCUCACGGGAGCUGGGAGACCCUGCUGCCAAGCUGAGUCUCACCAUCUUUGGCCCAUUUUUUUUUUUUUUUUAGACAGGGUCUCGUGCUGUUGCCCAGCCUGGAGUGCAGUGGUGCGCUCUUGGCUCACUGCAGCCUCACCUUCUCUGGCUCAAGCAAUCCUCCAGCUUCAGCUUUCCAAGUAGCUGAGGAUACAGACGUGCAUCACUAUGCCUGGCUAAUUUUUUGUAUUUUUUUUUGUAGAGAUGGGGUUUUGCAUGUUGGCCAGGCUGGUCUUGAACUCCUGAGUGUAAGAGUUGAAGAAAGAAGAAAGAAACACGAAAAGUGGCUCAACAGUCCAAGACAGGUUUAUUUUGGAGAAUAAACCUGAGAGGGGCUUCUGGCCGAUUGCUGUCAGGAGCACUCUCUCUUACAGACUAAGGGUAUUUAAGGGUUUAGGGAGGGAGAGCUUAUCGCAGGUUGGGAAUGUUUCUGGUCAGAGGAGUGUUUGAUUUCGGGGUAGGAAUGUUUCUGGUUGGAGGGCGCUUUAUCUCAGGGUUGGAAUGUUUCUGAUUGGAGGUGUCAUUUGUGGUUUAUGGUCAUGCUGACAGCCAUUAGGCUGAUUUUUUGGGGGCUGGAUUUAGGCGGUUUUUAAUCAAGGGGAACUUAAAAUGCUGCUGUUUGUCCAAAAUGUUGAUGCUCCUGCUUUGUCAAUCCAGACCCUAUAGUUAUAAAAGGAUGAGGGGCGACGUGCUCUUUCUGGCUACUUCCUGCUGAGAGAGGGUUGUCGUUAUGGGACACUGAACAUGGUGCUGGAGUGGAAGAGGUCGAUUUGUUCUGGGUAGCACACUCUGCCUCAGAGGCCCAGAGGCAGCGCCCACUGAAACAUCUAAUUUUCAGCUCACAGGGCUUCAAGAAAGCACAGCUUAGGUUUUAGUGAUCUCCAGCUAGAAAAAAAAAAGGGGGGGGGGAAGGAAAAGAAAAAGGAAAAAUUGAAAACAUUAUUUUGGAGACUUGUAGCCAGAAAAAUUAGAAUUUAAUCCAAACUGUAGAAAACAAUAAAAAUUGAAAAACCUCAGACAAGACUAGAAUUUAACAACAGGUGUGCUACAGUUUUUGAAACACAAUUCUCUCUCUCCAGUUUUCCAUUUAUAUUAAAAGACAAAUCAUGGGGCCAGGUGUGGUGGCUCACACCUGUAAUCCCAGCACUUUGGGAGGCCGAGGUGGGC
rnacentral:lncRNA from 10 species